UACGUAGGGUGCAAGCGUUUAAUCGGAAUUACUGGGCGUAAAGCGUGCGCAGGCGGUUUUGUAAGUCUGUCGUGAAAGCCCCGGGCUCAACCUGGGAAUUGCGAUGGAGACUGCAAGGCUUGAAUCUGGCAGAGGGGGGUAGAAUUCCACGUGUAGCAGUGAAAUGCGUAGAGAUGUGGAGGAACACCGAUGGCCGAAGGCAGCCCCCUGGGUCAAGAUUGACGCUCAUGCACGAAAGCGUGGGGAGCAAACAGG
rnacentral:rRNA from 1 species